rnacentral:rRNA from 1 species
GGGUGAGUAACGCGUGGGUAAUCUACCUCUAAGCCUGGAAUAACACGCCGAAAGGCGUGCUAAUACCGGAUAAGACCACGGAGCGCAUGCUCUGGGGUUAAAGGCGGGCCGCAAGGUCUGUCACUUGGGGAUGAGCCCGCGUCCCAUCAGCUAGUUGGCGAGGUAACGGCUCACCAAGGCUAAGACGGGUAGCUGGUCUGAGAGGACGAUCACACACACUGGAACUGAGACACGGUCCAGACUCCUACGGGAGGCAGCAGUAGGGAAUAUUGCACAAUGGGGGAAACCCUGAUGCAGCAACGCCGCGUGAGUGAAGAAGGCCCUUGGGUUGUAAAGCUCUUUAGCGAGGGAAGAAGGUAGAUAUGGUGAAUAAUCAUGUUUGCUGACGGUACCUCGGGAAUUAAGCCCCCGGCUAAUUUCGUGCCAGCAGCCGCGGUAAUACGAAAGGUGCAAGCGUUACUCGGAAUCACUGGGCGUAAAGCGCGCGUAGGCGGACUCGUAGGUCAAUUGUGAAAUACCUGGGCUCAACCCGGGAACUGCAGUUGAAACCGCUUGUCUUGAAUACCUGAGAGGGUGGGGGAAUACCUGGUGGAGAAGUGAAAUUCGUAGAGAUCAGGUGGAACACCGGAGGCGAAGGCGCCUGCCUGGCAGUGUAUUGACGCUGAGGUGCGAAAGUGCGGGGAGCAAACAGGAUUAGAUACCCUGGUAGUCCGCACCGUAAACGAUGGAUACUAGGCGUUCGGAGAGUUUACCCUCUGAGUGCCAAAGUUCACACAUUAAGUAUCCCGCCUGGGAAGUACGGUCGCAAGACUAAAACUCAAAGGAAUUGACGGGGGCCCGCACAAGCGGUGGAGUAUGUGGUUUAAUUCGAAGCAACGCGCAGAACCUUACCUGGCCUUGACAUCGCGAGACCGGUGCAGAGAUGUACCUUUCCCUUCGGGGACUCGUAGACAGGUGCUGCAUGGCUGUCGUCAGCUCGUGUUGUGAAAUGUUCGGUUAAGUCCGGCAACGAGCGCAACCCCUGUCCUUAGUUACCAGCAUUAAGUUGGGGACUCUAGGGAGACCGCCGGUGUUAAACCGGAGGAAGGCGGGGAUGACGUCAAGUCCUCAUGGCCCUUACGGCCAGGGCUACACACGUACUACAAUGGUAGAAACAGACGGCUGCAAGACCGCAAGGUGGAGCUAAUCCGUAAAACACUAUCUCAGUCCGGAUUGAAGUCUGCAACUCGACUUCAUGAAGUUGGAAUCGCUAGUAAUCGCAGAUCAGCACGCUGCGGUGAAU